rnacentral:rRNA from 1 species
GACGAACGCUGGCGGCGUGCUUAACACAUGCAAGUCGAACGGAAAGGCCCUGCUUUUGUGGGGUGCUCGAGUGGCGAACGGGUGAGUAACACGUGAGUGACCUGCCCUUGACUUUGGGAUAACUUCAGGGAACUGGGGCUAAUACCGGAUAGGAGCUCCUGCUGCAUGGUGGGGGUUGGAAAGUUUCGGCGGUUGGGGCUGGACUCGCGGCUUAUCAGCUUGUUGGUGGGGUAGUGGCUUACCAAGGCUUUGACGGGUAGCCGGCCUGAGAGGGUGACCGGCCACAAUGGGACUGAGAUACGGCCCAGAGUCCUACGGGAGGCAGCAGUGGGGAAUAUUGCACAAUGGGCGGAAGCCUGAUGCAGCAACGCCGCGUGCGGGAUGACGGCCUUCGGGUAGUAAACCGCUUUCGCCUGUGACGAAGCGUGAGUGACGGUAAUGGGUAAAGAAGCACCGGCUAACUACGU